rnacentral:lncRNA from 1 species
AUAAAUAAAAAAAAAACUAAAGAAAGAAAAAAUAGUAAGAAUAUUAAAAUUUUUAAAAAAAAACUAAAGAAUUUUUAAAGAAGUAAGGGCAUGUUUGGUUCGCUUCUUUUUUACCCUUGAAUCGGAAUCGGAAUGGGUGAAUCCGUUUGUGGGUGUUUGGUACGCGGGAGUUCCAUUCCGAUUCCUAUUCUCGAGUGGAAUGGGAAUCCUCCAAUCACCUCAUUUUUCAAUCCGGCCUAGGAUGCCGGAUUGGAAGUUGAAUCCGGACGGAAUGGAUAUUUAUGCGGAUUAAAUUUAUUUUUUCAACUUUUUUAAUUAAAAUAUGAGUUAAAAUUUAAAAAUUAAAUAUAUAAUUUUAAAUUUUAAUUUGAACUUAAAUUAAAAUUUAAAAUUUAAUCAAGUGUUUCGAAUCUAACUUACAAAUUUUAAUUUAAAUUAAAUUUUAAUUUAUAUAAAGUUUUAUUCAAAUUUUAUUUCAAACUUAAAUUAAAUUUAUAGAUUCAAAUUAAAAUUUAAAUUGUAAUUUUAGUUUGAAUUUGAAUAAAUCAAAUUUAGUUUCAUAAUUUGAAUUAUCCACUCAACUUCAAAGUUUAAUUUUUUUAAAAAAAAUAGAUUUAAAAUUUUGACAUUAUUUCAAAAUUUUGAUGUAAAUUUUUAAUAUUUAAUAUUUAAUUUGAAUUUAAAUUAAUAUAUUAUACAGAUAAUGUUAGUAUAUUAAGUUGAUUAUAUUUUUUAUAUCCACCUGAACCAAACGCCGACAAUGAGAAUGAUUUAUUCCGAUUCCGAUUUAGGUGAUGAAUCAAACAGAAUUAGGUAAUGAGUCAUUCUGAUUCCAAUUCCAGCUUAUUUUGAUUCCAAUUCCGAUUCCGACUCCAACUUCGAACCAAACACGCCCUAAAAGUAGAAGAAACUGAAGAAGAAGUACCAAUAGCAGCGGCUGCAAUAAAAGUAUUAAAAUAAAAACAUGAAAAAGGGUAAAUAAAAAAUAAAGAUAAAAUCAUAAGAAUAAUAAAUUAUAUUUACAGCAGCAAUAAAAUAUAAGAAAAAUAAAAAAAAAAUCUAAAGAAGAAGAAUUAGCAUGAACAACAGCAGUUAUAAAGUUACUAGAAGAAAAAAGACAAUGAAAACAACAACAAUAGCAAAAGAAGAAGAAUGAGUAUAUAUAUAUAUAUAUAUAUGGAGCAGGACUGCUGUGCUCUCAGGAGCACGGAGGCUUUCAUGCUCCUAAGCCGUUUUUGAUGAUGGAAUUUCUGAAUUGAUGAUCGGCUCCGUUAGAUUUGAUCUGACGUAUUUGAAGUUUCUAGAAAAUAAUUUUUGUGAUUUUUCGAUAUCAUUUACCUAGCAAUUGAAAGGAUUCAAAAUCAUUAAUUUUUAACGGAUGAAAAUAAAAAUCCUAUAAAAAGUGGUAAUAUAGCAUUAAAAUUUUCGAUCAGAAAUAUUGAUCUUGUUAUAGAUAGUAUAAAAAAUUUUGUAUUAAAAUUUUAUCUAAUUGGAAUACUUCUACACCGUUAAACUUGAAAACGGCAGAUAUCAACCAUUAAAAAUUAUUGAUUUUGAAUCCUUUCGAUCACUAGGUAAAUGAUAUCAAAAAAUCGCAAAAAUUAUUUUCUAGAAUCUUCAAAUACGCUAGAUCAAGUCUAACGGAGCCGAUCAUCGAUUCGGAAAUUCUAUCAUCAAAAAUGGCUCAGGAGCACGAAGGCCUUCGUGCUCCUGAGAGUACAGCAGCCCUGUUCUAUAUAUAUAUAUAUAUGAGUUGAUCUAGGAUACUUUUACAAGUAUCAUCCCCAUGUUGCUAUCAUGUUUUUAGCAAUUGGAUCUACUUUUUGAUUACAAAUAGCCCUUGGAUCAAAUACUAUUCCACCUAUCACCAUCAUCUCAACCUCACAUCUCUCCAUCCAAGGGCUAAAAACACACAAGUAUUACUUGGGUGAUACUUGUAAAAGUAUUCUAGCCCUACUAUAUAUAUAUAUAUA